AUUGAACGCUGGCGGCAUGCCUUACACAUGCAAGUCGAACGGCAGCACGGACUUCUGUCUGGUGGCGAGUGGCGAACGGGUGAGUAAUGUAUCGGAACGUACCUUUCAGUGGGGGAUAACGUAGCGAAAGUUACGCUAAUACCGCAUAUUCUGUGAGCAGGAAAGCAGGGGAACGCAAGACCUUGCGCUGAUUGAGCGGCCGAUAUCAGAUUAGCUAGUUGGUGAGGUAAAGGCUCCCCAAGGCGACGAUCUGUAGCGGGUCUGAGAGGAUGAUCCGCCACACUGGAACUGAGACACGGUCCAGACUCCUACGGGAGGCAGCAGUGGGGAAUUUUGGACAAUGGGGGCAACCCUGAUCCAGCCAUGCCGCGUGAGUGAAGAAGGCCUUCGGGUUGUAAAGCUCUUUCGGCCGGGAAGAAAUCGCAUGGGUUAAUACCCUGUGCGGAUGACGGUACCGGCAUAAGAAGCACCGGCUAACUACGUGCCAGCAGCCGCGGUAA
rnacentral:rRNA from 1 species